AAGUCGAGGGGCAUCAGGAAGAAAGCUUGCUUUCUUUGCUGGCGACCGGCGCACGGGUGAGUAACACGUAUCCAACCUGCCCUUUACUCGGGGAUAGCCUUUCGAAAGAAAGAUUAAUACCCGAUGGCAUAGUUCUUCCGCAUGGUGGAACUAUUAAAGAAUUUCGGUUGUCGAUGGGGAUGCGUUCCAUUAGGCAGUUGGCGGGGUAACGGCCCACCUAGGCGACGAUCAGUAGCCGGACUGAGAGGUUGAACGGCCACAUUGGGACUGAGACACGGCCCAAACUCC
rnacentral:rRNA from 1 species